UACGUAGGGAGCAAGCGUUGUCCGGAAUCAUUGGGCGUAAAGCGCGCGUAGGUGGCUUCGUAAGUCCGUUGUGAAAGUCAAAGGCUCAACCUUUGAAAGCCGAUGGAUACUGCGGAGCUAGAGUACGGAAGAGGCGAGUGGAAUUCCUGGUGUAGCGGUGGAAUGCGCAGAUAUCAGGAGGAACACCAAUAGCGAAGGCAGCUCGCUGGGACGUACUGACA
rnacentral:rRNA from 1 species